rnacentral:rRNA from 1 species
AUGUCUGGAAGCACGGGAGAAUGUUCUUUUGCUGAUAUUAUUACCAGUAUUCGAUACUGGGUUAUUCAUAGCAUUACUAUACCUUCCCUAUUCAUUGCGGGUUGGUUAUUUGUCAGUACGGGUUUAGCUUAUGACGUGUUUGGAAGUCCUAGGCCAAACGAGUAUUUCACGGAAAGCCGACAAGGAAUUCCGUUAAUAACCGACCGUUUUGAUUCUUUAGAACAACUCGAUGAAUUUAUGCGAUGGCUGGCUAUUCACGGACUAGCUGUACCUACUGGUUUUUUCUUGGGAUCAAUAUCAGCAAUGCAGUUCAUCCAACGAUAA